UGGGGAAUUUUGCACAAUGGGGGAAACCCUGAUGCAGCGACGCCGCGUGAUUUAGAAGGCCUUCGGGUUGUAAAAAUCUUUUGUAUAGGAAGAAAAUGACAGUACUAUACGAAUAAGGACCGGCUAAUUACGUGCCAGCAGCCGCGGUAAUACGUAAGGUCCGAGCGUUGUCCGGAAUCAUUGGGCGUAAAGGGUACGUAGGCGGGUAAGCAAGUUAGAAGUGAAAUCCUAUAGCUCAACUAUAGUAAGCUUUUAAAACUGCUCAUCUUGAGGUAUGGAAGAGCAAGUGGAAUUCCUAGUGUAGCGGUGCAAUGCGCAGAUAUUAGGAGGAAUACCGGUAGCGAAGGCGACUUUCUGGCCAUAACCUGACGCUGAGGCUCGAAAGCGUUGGUAGCAAACAGG
rnacentral:rRNA from 1 species